UAGGGAAUCUUCCGCAAUGGACGCAAGUCUGACGGAGCAACGCCGCGUGAGUGAAGAAGGAUUUCGGUUCGUAAAACUCUGUUGUUAGAGAAGAACAGCGCAUAGAGUAACUGUUAUGCGUGUGACGGUAUCUAACCAGAAAGCCACGGCUAACUACGUGCCAGCAGCCGCGGUAAUACGUAGGUGGCAAGCGUUGUCCGGAUUUAUUGGGCGUAAAGCGAGCGCAGGCGGUCAAUUAAGUCUGAUGUGAAAGCCCCCGGCUCAACCGGGGAGGGUCAUUGGAAACUGGUGGACUUGAGUGCAGAAGAGGGAAGUGGAAUUCCAUGUGUAGCGGUGAAAUGCGUAGAUAUAUGGAGGAACACCAGUGGCGAAGGCGACUCUCUGGUCUGUAACUGACGCUGAGGCUCGAAAGCGUGGGUAGCAAACAGG
rnacentral:rRNA from 1 species